CUCCUUGGCCAGCCUUCUGAAAGGAAGAUUAAUCCAGGAUGGCAUCAUGAGUUCACAUGUCCGCAUGAUUAAAGGUAUUUUCCGGUAGACGAUGGGGAUGCGUUCCAUUAGAUAGUAGGCGGGGUAACGGCCCACCUAGUCAACGAUGGAUAGGGGUUCUGAGAGGAAGGUCCCCCACAUUGGAACUGAGACACGGUCCAA
rnacentral:rRNA from 1 species